CCAGGUGGCUUCCUGUUUGAAGGGCUCUCUGAUGAUGAGGAUGACUUUCACCCAAGCGCCAGGUCCACGCCCUCGAGCAGCACACCCGGCUCCCGCCCAGCUUCCCUGGGGUACAGUGGAGCUGCCGGGCCCCGGCCUAUCACCCAGAGCGAGCUGGCCACCGCCCUGGCCCUGGCCAGCACUCCGGAGAGCAGCUCUCACACGCCAACUCCUGGCACCCAGGGCCAUUCCUCAGGGACCUCCCCGGUGUCAUCCGGCGUCCAGUCAGGGACGCCCAUCACCAAUGAUCUCUUCAGCCAAGCUCUCCAGCAUGCGCUGCAGGCCUCCGGGCAGCCCAGCCUUCAGAAGACACCCAACCACCACC